GAUGAACGCUGGCGGCGUGCCUAAUACAUGCAAGUCGAGCGAACAGACGAGGAGCUUGCUCCUCUGACGUUAGCGGCGGACGGGUGAGUAACACGUGGAUAACCUACCUAUAAGACUGGGAUAACUUCGGGAAACCGGAGCUAAUACCGGAUAAUAUAUUGAACCGCAUGGUUCAAUAGUGAAAGACGGUUUUGCCGUCACUUAUAGAUGGAUCCGCGCCGCAUUAGCUAGUUGGUAAGGUAACGGCUUACCAAGGCAACGAUGCGUAGCCGACCUGAGAGGGUGAUCGGCCACACUGGAACUGAGACACGAUCCAGACUCCUACGGGAGGCAGCAGUAGGGAAUCUUCCGCAAUGGGCGAAAGCCUGACGGAGCAACGCCGCGUGAGUGAUGAAGGUCUUCGGAUCGUAAAACUCUGUUAUUAGGGAAGAACAAAUGUGUAAGUAACUAUGCACGUCUUGACGGUACCUAAUCAGAAAGCCACGGCUAACUACGUG
rnacentral:rRNA from 1 species